rnacentral:rRNA from 1 species
CGGUAGGGUGCGAGCGUUAAUCGGAAUUACUGGGCGUAAAGCGUGCGCAGGCGGUUUUGUAAGCCAGAUGUGAAAUCCCCGGGCUUAACCUGGGAAUGGCAUUUGGGACUGCAAGGCUUGAGUGCGGCAGAGGAGACUGGAAUUCCCGGUGUAGCAGUGAAAUGCGUAGAUAUCGGGAGGAAUACCGAUGGCGAAGGCAGGUCUCUGGGCUGACACUGACGCUCAUGCACGAAAGCGUGGGGAGCAAACAGGAUUAGAUACCCUGGUAGUCCACGCCCUAAACGAUGUCGACUGGUUGUUGGGGGUUUGACACUCUCAGUAACGAAGCUAACGCGUGAAGUCGACCGCCUGGGGAGUACGGCCGCAAGGUUA